rnacentral:rRNA from 1 species
UACAGAAGGGGCGAGCGUUGUUCGGAAUUACUGGGCGUAAAGGGCGCGUAGGCGGCCCGCUAAGUCGAACGUGAAAUCCCCAGGCUCAACCUGGGAACUGCGUCCGAUACUGGCAGGCUUGAAUCCGGGAGAGGGAUGUGGAAUUCCAGGUGUAGCGGUGAAAUGCGUAGAUAUCUGGAGGAACACCGGUGGCGAAGGCGGCACACUGGCCGGUACUGACGCUGAGGUGCGAAAGCGUGGGGAGCCAAACA